rnacentral:rRNA from 1 species
AGCGAACGCUGGCGGCAGGCCUAACACAUGCAAGUCGAACGAACUCUUCGGAGUUAGUGGCGGACGGGUGAGUAACACGUGGGAACGUGCCUUUAGGUUCGGAAUAACUCAGGGAAACUUGUGCUAAUACCGAAUGUGCCCUUCGGGGGAAAGAUUUAUCGCCUUUAGAGCGGCCCGCGUCUGAUUAGCUAGUUGGUGAGGUAACGGCUCACCAAGGCGACGAUCAGUAGCUGGUCUGAGAGGAUGGCCAGCCACACUGGGACUGAGACACGGCCCAGACUCCUACGGGAGGCAGCAGUGGGGAAUCUUGCGCAAUGGGCGAAAGCCUGACGCAGCCAUGCCGCGUGAAUGAUGAAGGUCUUAGGAUUGUAAAAUUCUUUCACCAGGGACGAUAAUGACGGUACCCGGAGAAGAGGCCCCGGCUAACUUCGUGCCAGCAGCCGCCGUAA